AUUCGUCCGCCCCCGCGCUUACCUACCAGGCUCAGCGGGGCCCGCCCCUCCUGCGCCCAGUCCAGCGCCCGCCAGACCGCCGCCUGCCGCUGCCCUGGACCCUGGCGUCCGGCUCCCCCGUGCCAGGACCCCGCGUCGCGGACCCACGAUGGCCAAGCGCAGCUCGCUGUUCAUCCGCAUCGUGGAGGGGAAGAACCUGCCCGCCAAGGACAUCACGGGCAGCAGCGAUCCCUACUGCAUCGUGAAGGUGGACCACGAGCCCAUCAUAAGGACAGCCACUGUGUGGAAGACCCUGUGCCCCUUCUGGGGCGAGGAGUAUCAGGUGCACCUGCUGCCCACCUUCCACUCGGUGGCUUUCUACGUCAUGGACGAAGAUGCCCUCAGCCGGGACGACGUCAUCGGGAAAGUCUGCCUUACCAGGGACACCCUGGCUACUCACCCUAAGGGUUUCAGUGGAUGGGCCCAUCUGACGGAGGUCGACCCUGAUGAGGAGGUGCAGGGCGAGAUCCACCUGCGGCUGGAAGUGGUGCUGGGGACCCGGGCCUGCCGGCUGCGCUGCUCUGUGCUGGAGGCCAGGGACCUGGCCCCCAAGGACCGGAAUGGUGCAUCUGACCCCUUUGUCCGAGUGCGCUACAACGGCCGGACACAGGAGACCUCGAUCGUGAAGAAGUCACGCUACCCACGCUGGAAUGAGACGUUUGAAUUCGAGCUGGAAGAGGGGGCGGCGGAGGCGCUGUGUGUGGAGGCCUGGGACUGGGACCUUGUCAGCCGCAAUGACUUCCUGGGCAAGGUGGUGUUCAAUGUCCAGAGACUCCGGGCGGCCCAGCAGGAGGAGGGCUGGUUCCGGCUGCAGCCCGACCAGUCCAAGAGUCGGCGAGAAGAGGGCAACCUGGGCUCCUUGCAGCUGGAGGUGCGGCUGCGGGACGAGAUGGUGCUGCCCUCCGGCUGCUACCAGCCCCUGGUGCAGCUGCUCUGCCAUGAGGUGAAGCUGGGCACCCAGAGCCCAGGGCAGCUGAUCCUACUCAUCGAGGAGACGACAAGCACGGAAUGCCGCCAGGACGUGGCCACAACCCUGCUCAAGCUUUUCCUGGGGCAGGGACUGGCCAAAGACUUCCUGGACCUGCUCUUUCAGCUAGAGCUGGGUCGCACCAGUGAGGCCAACACCCUGUUUCGAAGCAAUUCUCUGGCCUCCAAGUCCAUGGAGUCUUUUCUGAAGGUGGCUGGAAUGCGGUAUCUGCACGGCGUCCUGGGCCCCAUCAUUGACAGGGUGUUUGAGGAGAAGAAGUACGUGGAGCUGGACCCCAGCAAGGUGGAGGUCAAGGAUGUAGGGUGCUCCGGGUUGCACCGCCCGCAGACUGAAGCUGAAGUGCUGGAGCAGAGCGCGCAGACGCUGCGCGCCCACUUGGGGGCGCUGUUGAGCUCGCUCAGUCGCUCGGUUCGCGCAUGCCCUGCCGUGGUCCGCGCCACCUUCCGCCAGCUCUUCCGGCGCGUGCGCGAGCGCUUCCCCAGCGCCCAGGACGAGAACGUGCCCUUCAUCGCCGUCACCAGCUUCCUGUGCCUGCGCUUCAUCUCUCCUGCCAUCAUGGCGCCCAAGCUCUUCCACCUGCGGGAGCGGCACGCGGACGCCCGCACCAGCCGCACCCUGCUCCUGCUGGCCAAGGCGGUCCAGAAUGUGGGCAACAUGGACACACCAGCUUCCAGGGCUAAGGAGGCUUGGAUGGAACCGCUGCAGCCCACGGUGCGCCAGGGCGUGGCCCAGCUGAAGGACUUCAUCACCAAGUUGGUAGACAUCCAGGAGAAAGAGGAGCUGGACCUGCAGCGGGCCCUGAGCUUGCAGGCGCCGCUGCUGAAGGAGGGGCCGCUCUUCAUACACAGGACCAAGGGCAAGGGCCCCCUCAUGUCUUCCUCCUUUAAGAAGCUCCACUUCUCCCUCACCACGGAGGCCCUCAGCUUUGCCAAGACACCCAGCUCCAAGAAAAGCACCCUCAUCAAGCUUGCCCACAUCCGGGCAGCAGAAAAGGUGGAGGAGAAGAGCUUUGGCAGCUCCCACGUCAUGCAGGUCAUCUACACGGACGACGUGGGCAGGUCCCAGACCGCCUACCUGCAGUGCAAGUGUGUGAACGAGCUGAACCAGUGGCUGUCUGCACUGCGGAAGGUCAGCAUCAACAACACCGGCCUGCUAGGCUCCUACCACCCUGGAGUCUUCCGCGGGGACAAGUGGAGCUGCUGCCACCAGAGGGACAAGACAGAUCUGGGUUGCGACAAGACGCGGUCCCGGGUGACCCUGCAGGAGUGGAAUGACCCUCUCGACCAUGACCUGGAGGCUCAGCUCAUCUACCGGCACCUGCUGGGUGUAGAGGCCACGCUGCGGUGAGGAGGCCUGUGCAGGGGCAGCGAGUCCCACGCGGCAGAACCUGGGAAGCCCCGGGGGAUGUGCCGGCGGGUGCUGGAGCCGGGAUUCGGGCUCAGGGCCCCUCCGCAGUGGCUGGUCUCUUCCCUCGUAAUCAGGCUCUGCCCCUCCCUGCCUGUGGCAGCCACACCGGAGGGCAUCUGGAUCUCUGCAGCAUGAGGCUGGCUUAUCUUAGGUUGAAGGUCCCAGGGGCUGUGGAAGCCCAGGGUCAGGCUGUAGCUGCUCUGUGUCCCCGGCUGACCCAGCCCCCUCAUCUGCCCAGCCCUCCCUUGGUGCCCUCAGAGCGCCAGGAUUGCCCUCAGCCAACUCGCUUAAUUCAGUGGUUCUCAGCCCUGGCUCCAGCUUAGCGAACACAGAACGCUUUUUAAAAACAGGAUGCCUGGGCCCUACCCCACUGACUCAGAAUCUCUGGUCGGGGGCGGGUUCAGCACGGGGAUAUUUUAAAGCAAGCCAUCGCUUCCUGAGAGCACUGCUUCCCGGAGUCUGUUCGAAAGGGGGCAGUUUUCUCUCCCACGCCCCUGCCCCCGGGGCCUGGAGGGGCGCCGCGCAUCCUCCUUGCCUCCUCAGCAGCUCUCCUAGGGUUUGUCUCCUGCGGCUACUGUAGCGCGUCACCAUACGCUUCGUGGCCUAAACAACACAGGCUUAUCCUCGCACAGUAAGAGCGGAGGAAGCACGUGAGCAGAGGGGUCAGGGGUCAGGCGACCCUCUAGGGCCUAGGAGGCAGCUGACGAGGAGGAGUUUGAUCUGUUUUAUCCAAAGUAGAUCAGGGAGAUGGUCAGAGCGCUGAGCCAGCAGAGUUCCUAAACAAGGAGCUUCAAGCACAGGGUCCGCGAGGCUGCCCACCAUCCCUCCGUGUAAGCGCACAGGAUUGUACCUGAGCGACCCGGGGACCUUUGGUGAACCCCGGGGCCCUCUGAAAAGGAAGUGACACGGUUCAAGCUUGGUUUCCAAAGUGCCUUCCGCUGGUCCACCUUUGCUGAGGUGGAGGAUGAGGGGGGACCAGAGGAGGAGGCUGGACGGCGGGAAGCGGGAGGCGACCGGGGGCCGAGACCUGGGUCCACACUUUUUCCUGUACGUUGAAGCAGCCCCCUGCCCCCAGGAGCCCCCUCCAGCUCAGGAGGCCUACCCUGGGUCACCCAGCCUUCUGGGCGAGGGCACCAGAAGCCCUCACAUCCUGUCCUCAC